GGGCCGGACUUAAAGACAGUACACACACGGGGGUGUAGGAUGGAUAGUUUGCAGUAGUGGCGACGACGGCGCACAAGCACUACACUCAUUCGAGCCACGACUUUUCCACGUGACACACACAUACCGACAGAGAAACUUUAGGUGCCUGUUGUUUUUCCUAUUUUUUUUUAUACUGUCAGUGCAGUUUUUACCAAGGAAUUAUUAUAAACUACGAUUAAGACUUCGAUUGAUCAAGGCCGUUUUAGACCGGAGUGAGCUAGAAAAAUUGAGAGUUCAGGCGGAUGUCAUCUUCUAACGUUAAAUGCCUUGGUUCGUUCAUCCACGAUCAAAUAAGGUUCGCUGAUGACUACUUCGAAUCUAAAGCAUUGGUUAAGUCGCGGAGAACUCGAUAAAUUAGAAAAUGUCGUCCUCGAAGGUAGAGGAGCGCGACUGCUGGGCGAACAAUCUCCCGACCUCAGAACUAGAGUAUUCCUCAAGGGGUUGCCGAAUUACUUGACGAAAAUCUCACAAAUCCAUGAUGCCGUAAUUCGAGGUUCACUGGCAGAAGUACAACGAAUUGUAGACGGGGAACCAAAGAAGAAGCUAGUUGUUGCCAAAGAUUCAGCUGGUACUCCAUUAAUUCAUAAGGCUGUUUACUACGAUCACCAAAAUGUCGUGGAGUGGAUUGUUGACAAUUACCCCACAACUGUUGAACAAAAGGACAAGGAGGGUCGAACAGCGCUGCACUACUGCGCAGCUUGCAGAGAUCCGGAAGCUGUUUGGGAUAUCCUCAUCGAGGCGGGCUGUGACGCGAGCGUCUGCGACAAGAAAGGCAAUCCAGCUGCUUAUUAUUUGCAACGCGGUGCUGAAAUCGAAUUACCUGAUCCCGAAAAGAUGCUUGGACACCGUGGCAGACGCCGACACACCAAACAUGACAAUCCACAAGCCAAUAGUCUCGACUUUAAACCUUCGAACAUACGAAUAUGGAUCCACAAUCGAGACAUUGGAAAACUACAACAAGUGCUGUGGGAAGGACACGGGGCAAAGUUACGCUGUGAAACGAGCAACAAUGUCCGAGUUAGGCGCUUUCUUGAAGCUGUGCCUUUUAUUAUGGGAACAAUAAAAGACAUUCACGCAGCAACGAUCAAAAACGACAUAGACACUUUUCGGAAAAAAGUGGAAGAUCCAGUAUCCCCUAUUAUUUUAUCGAGCAAAGAUUGCAAUGGCCUUAACGUUUUACAUAAGGCUGCUGGCUUGGGAUACGUUGAACUGGCCAAAGAAAUUUUAGACAAAUAUCCGGCAAUAGUAAGUGCACAGGAUGGUGAUGGUAGAAUUCCUUUGCACUAUGCUGCAGUUUGCAGAGACGGUGGAGUUAUGUUCGAUCUGCUUGUGGAGUAUGGCUCCGAUGAAAGCAAACUGGAUAACCGAGGUAAAGUAGCGGCAUUUUACAAGAAUCGCCCGAUGGACAUUGACUUGUCAAGCUUAGUGACAGUGCCUGAUGCACCGCGAGUAUCGGGCACAAACUAUCCGCGACACUGGGACUGGCGUAUCAUAGACUCGGACCAGCCGUUGCCGCGCAUCAAGCGUACGGGCAACAACGCGGACGACGACAGUGCAUUCGGCAGCGCCGAGUCGGCAAAGCUUACCGAGGAAAUCACCACACCAGAGAUUGAAAACGCGGAAGACGAAAUGAAUGGCAACGAAGAGGAGCCUGAAGCGGAGGAAGGUGAUGCACAAGCCGACGAAGGCGAUGAACAAGCCGAUGAAUGCGAUGCACAAGUCGACGAAGGUGAUGCCGAUGAAAACGAUAAUCCUGCAGAAAAUGAAGAAGAGGUUGUUGCCGUUGCCGAAGAGGGUGAGCUCCAUGACAACAAUAACAACGAAGUGGCUGAGGUCAAGGCCGAACGCGCCGUGACUACCUAUUCCACUAAAUCCGUGCCCGAGUUCGCCGAGCCCACGUCCGAAGUAACCCAGUUCGAGUUAACCGAAGCAGUGUCGUCUUCGAAACCCACGUCUGUUAAAUCGGAAUGUAUUGCUAAAACCGCGUCGGCUAAGACGAAACUCAAUUCCAAAUCCGCGUCCGUUAGAACAGAAUCCACUUCUAAGUCAGUGUCUAUUAAAACAGAGCCCAAUCCCAAGUCCGCAUCUACUAAAACGGAGCUCACGUCCAAUUUUAAGUCCGAAUUUUUUAAAGCAGAGUCCAAUUCGAAGCCCUCGUCUACUGAAACGGAGUUCUCUUCGAAGCCCACGCACGUUAAGACGGGAGUCACCUCAAAGUCCACUUCUGGCAAAAUGAAGCCCAUGUCCAAAAUAGACGAAAACGAAUUUGUUCAAAUGGAGCCCACGCCUGAACUAACUAAAAAGCCUACGUCCCAGCCUUCCGAGAUCGAGUCUAUGGAAUCGGCGGCCACGUCAAAACCCGCCUCUGCUAAUGUGGAUCCCACAUCCGAGCUCUCUGAGAUCGAGUCCGUCGAAUCGGAAGCCACUUCGAAGGCCGCGUCUGCUAACAUGAUACUCGAGAUUCACAAUUAUGCGCCCAAUGAGUUCGAGUCCACUCUUGAAAUGUAUAAAAUAGAUUCCACUGAAAUAGAGCCCACUUCCAAGCGCGCGUCCGCUAAAUCAAAGCCCACUUCAAAGCCCGCGUUCACUAAGGCAGAACCGACGCUUGAGUUCCCCGAAAGCGCGCCCGCAUAUCCCGAGCCCACGCUCAAAGUGGCCGAGGUCAAGACCAAAGCUGAAGAUGAAGUAGAAGUAGAAGUAGGAGCAGGAGCAGGAGCAAAAGUUGAAGUCGAAGCUGGGGUUCAAGGUGGCGAUGAUGCCGAAGCAGAGGACUCGGGCGAAGCACAGGAAAAUCAGAAAGAAAACCAAGAGCACGAGGAAGAGGAAGCUCCGCCAGUCGAGGAAGCUGACAAAGAAACUAGCGAAGCAGAGGUGCCGGUAGAAGAGAGCGAAGCGGCCGACCCCGCGGCCGAAGUCGAGGAGAGCGACGAAGGCGACGACAAGGUUGAACCGAGCACAGCUGACUCUGGCGUCGUCCGCACGCCAAACGAUGAAGAGCAGGCUGACGAAGAGGCGCCAGACGUGCAGCAAGAGGAGGAAGCGCCAGCCGAGGGAGAAGAGGGCAAGGAGGAGGAGGAGGAGGAAGAGGAUGGGAACGAGGAGCAGGCUGCAGCCGACGACGAGGAAGCAGCCGAGCUCGCGGAGAACGGCACGAUGGAGCAGCUGGCGGCGCUCGUGCUGAGCGGCGAGGGCCACCGGCUCGUUAAUCGACACUCGAGCAACCCCGAAUUGCAGGCGUUCAUCGACAACGUGCCCACUUACAUGUCAAAGAUACGCGCCGUGCACCGAGCGGCCAAGGAUGGUAACCUCAAGGAAUUGCAGAUCUCGUUGGAUCGGCGUAAGUUUGCCAUGGCUAAGGACCAGUCGUCGCCGCAUGGUGCCACGCCGCUUCACGUUGCUGUGAUCUUCGGCCAUACAACGAUCGUCAGGUACUUGGCCGGCAGAUUUCCCGAGACGACCCACGCGCUCGACUUGGACGGACGCACUCCCCUGCACUACGCAGCCACGCUCGCCGACAAUGGGCACUAUUAUAAUCUACUACUGCAUCUCGGAGCCAAUCCACUCGUGCAGGAUAACUUCGGCCAGAAAGCGGAAUACUACAAGCACAAUCAGGACGACUUGUCACACAAGCAGCUUUUGCGCGAUUUCGGCGCCCCGGAAUCUCUCGCCGACGAGAUGCUUGUCGAUAAAGUGGCGAACGGGGACACGGCGUCGGCGCGUCGCGACGUCACGGAGCCGGAGACUUUGGCGACGCUGGAACGCUGCUUCAGGCUGCUGACUUCGGGAAUCGGCGGCAACGGCGGCGCUGCCGGGGUGGCAGCUGGUGGCAGGCGGAGCUCGAUGCCGAGUGCGGCGGCCGGCAGCACCAACAGCGGCGCCUCCAAUAACGCCGGUACUUUGCUGGGCCGCUGCUUGCGGCGCCAGGUCUUCGAGAAAAUCAAGCACCGCGUGACCUGCAUGGAUCACAAUCUAUUUGACGUCAUUUGGCCCGCUUUGAAAAAGUACAGCAACGCAUACGCCAGCAACAGCAGCCUCGAGGAGGGCAAUCUUAACUUAGUGCGCGAGCGGAGAUUAUCGGUAUCCUCGUACGACGAAGACUUCACGGGCAACGUAGUGGUGCCAGACUUCGAAAGCUACGUAGUUUUUGCCGAGCUCUUAGACCCAUUGAUUCGAGAUCUUCACUGCGUGACAGCGACCGGUGAAUUACCAGAUCAGCCAGGCCCAUCGUUCUUCUACGACGACGACUACAUUGGAAACACAAGUGCCAGUACCCACAGCGACAAAGUGUCCCGCGAGAACAUCACCUACUUGGAAAGUCGCGAUCUCGACCCGAGCGGCAAGUACAUCAUGGCCGGUGUGAUCGAAUGCACUCGCAACUUCGUCGAUCACCAAUUGCCACUGACUAUGCGCAUUAACGAGCUGGAGGAGACCGAAAGAAUCAUCACGGGUAUACUCAUCGGUCCGGAACUCACCAAUUUGCUGGCUGAGGGUUCAAGCGAAGACGAAGCUGGCACCUAUUAUACCCUCAGCGAAAUAAUGGACCCGUUCAACGAGGUGCGAGCUCAACUGGCGGGUUCGGGCCUGUUGCUGCCGAUCAGCGAGACUGAAAACAGCGACGAGCGCCGGUUGCACGGCAAGCAUUGGCCUUACGGUCGUGGAGUUUACGUGACGUCUUCUGGGGAUCUUGCCAUCUGGGUGAACGUGCAAGACCACGUGCGCCUGAUCUGCUGUAGUAGCGAGUCGAAGCCCGGCUACAUCGGCAAAGCUUACGUGCGCUUGGCAAGGGUGCUUGCAGUUUUCGAUCGUAGCUUCGACUUUAGGCGCGAUCCCAAGCUGGGUUUUCUGACCUCGAGACCGUGCGCUCUUGGCAAUACUCUCAGAUUCGACAUCAUCGUCAAGCUCGCCGGGCUUUCGAAGAAACCGGACGACUUGAAGCACCUGUGCGUCGUAAGAGGUUUGAGGAUUCAUCCGACCUUGAGGAGAGACACCGUGAGGCUGGGCAAUCAGCAGAGUUUGUCCAUCAGCGAGCUGCAGACUUACCAGGACUUCGACAGAGCCGUACUCAAUGUACUCACUUUGGAGAAAGAAUUGGCGCUGAAUAGCUCGUACAAAAUUGCUUCUGUUAUUGCCAACAUCUUCAAGAGAAGACGACUUUCCGGCUCGAGAAGCGUUAGGCCCUAGUAGUAGCUGCAUACUUAUUUACCGAGAAGACUGACUGUUACAACGCUUGUAUACUCACUUGUCAUUCUCUUUUAUCUUGCAAAACAAAAACCCGCCUCAUAGAUUGUUAGCUCUUAAGAUUUUUGUAUUUAACUUAGCGCUUAAGUAAAUCAUCAUUAAGCAAUUAUCAGUUUGCUAAAGCUGCCUGUAAAUGGAGAAUCGCCUCGACCAAAAAAAUAAAAACACGAUCUGUGAUACGUUUAUUUGGCUAAUUAAAAAUAUGCAAGCUAAUCGAAAGUUCGAUCAACGUUAGGGUCAUCAUCAAUUUGGAAAGAUGUGUGAGCUUGUCGUGUGGCGGUUGACGGAUACGUCUCUCUCUCUCUCUCUUUCUCUCUCUCUCUCGACCAAUUGCUUUUUUGGAUCUGAAAAUUUUUCACGACGAGGAAGGACGAUACUUAGUGUCUUCACUCGGCGAUCCAUUAAUAAAAGGUUUAACCGAAGUUGCAACUACAAGACCAAAAGAUCCCGUUACGUAUCUCGCGACUUAUCUG